GUAGGGUGCAAGCGUUGUCCGGAAUUACUGGGCGUAAAGAGUUCGUAGGCGGUUUGUCGCGUCGUUUGUGAAAACCAGCAGCUCAACUGCUGGCUUGCAGGCGAUACGGGCAGACUUGAGUACUGCAGGGGAGACUGGAAUUCCUGGUGUAGCGGUGAAAUGCGCAGAUAUCAGGAGGAACACCGGUGGCGAAGGCGGGUCUCUGGGCAGUAACUGACGCUGAGGAACGAAAGCGUGGGUAGCAAACAGGAUUAGAUACCCUGGUAGUCCACGCCGUANACGGUGGGCGCUAGGUGUGGGUUCCUUCCACGGAAUCCGUGCCGUAGCUAACGCAUUANGCGCCCCGCCUGGGGAGU
rnacentral:rRNA from 1 species